GCUACAUGCUAUCUGCACUGGUCAUCAAGGGCUCUCGAUUUUCUAAAAUCCGCAUUCUGCAUCAAAUAAAAACUAAAAAAUGUGAUUUAAUAACCACAAAAAGUUGUAUUACUGCACACAGUGGGGAGCAUGGUCCCGUUUUCUUUUUAAGACAGACAGGAACAUGGGCAGGAUGUUUAUACUGCAAAAUGUAAACAUUUUCCCUGGCCUUCCUUAAAUAAAAAAAUCAAGCAAAAGCUCCACAAGAGCUGCUAAUACCCGUGCCGAUACAAUGGGUCCGUUUGGAUGCAGAGCUCUUCUGGAUCCUAUGCUGCUUUUCAGCGAGGAUUCGGCUUUUAGAAGCCGAGAACGAGUGAGAGAACGAGAGAGAGGAGUCCGGGAUCUGGAGCUUACAGCUCAGGUGAAGAUCGGAUGACGACCUCUCGAUAGAGCUCCGUGCUUCUCGACUGCGCGCUCGUCCAUCACUCAUCGAUUGAUGGUGAGGACUGGAUGAGACCACUCUACCCCAUAUUAAGCUGAUGUUGGGGUAAAAAUGAAGAAAGUACAGGUAUGUGAGGAACUGCACUAAGUAACAGCAUCAGGUCAUUCUUUGGAGCGCUGACCCUCGACCUUUACAUGUGUUUAUAUCUUGUGAUUGAUUGGACAAAUAGUGAUGAGUCAUACCCCCAAGUGUGUUUAUAUUUCAGAGUCACGCAAGGAAGGAAAAGAGCUAUGACCUGCUAAAAGCGAGCAAGCGAGUGGGAGAGAGAGAGAAGAGAGAGAGAGAGAGAGAGAGAGGAUAUUGAAUUGACUUAUUAUUGCUUGUACACAAUUUUACAUGAAAA